UAUGAGAAUGAACAGUACAUAAAAUAAUAUUUACACAUAUAUUUUAUGUACUGUUCAUUCUCAUAUUACUGAUGAA
rnacentral:miRNA from 1 species